GUAGGUGAACCUGCGGAAGGAUCAUUAACACUUUUUAUCCAAUAAAAAAACUAAACGUGAACUUUUCCCCUCCCUAUGUCAUAAAUUCUUGAUAUAGGCUAACCUUUUAUUUUAUUUCAAACCACUUUAAUUUUUUUAUAAGUCUUUGUAAGCUAACGCCUACAAAAAAGACUGACUAACUAAAAAUUUUACUUAAGAUGUCACAUGUUGAUCUCUUAAUUAAUAUUUUUUCUUUACGAAAUAAAUAUUA
rnacentral:misc_RNA from 1 species